CGGCCGUGUCAGGGGGGACUGACUCGCCCGCGAACUGAGAGCCUUGAGCUCUCGCCAGCCGACUCCGAGACGGCGAACGCCGCUCCGUCCGCGCCCUACCGGGUUUUUCUCGCCGGUUCUCCAGGAUGAGCAGCAGCGGCUGUCGGCCCGGAGCGGGCCCGGUGUCCCCGAGCUGUGCCUGCCGCGCUCAGGUGUCAGCCUGGCGGCGUUUGCCCUACCGCGGAGCCAGCUCCAUAGCCAUGGCCUGGAGUCGCUCCACUGCUGGGUAGGAGCUGGCAGCAUCCCGCUUCCCUACCUCCAGGAUGGCACCACGUGGCUGCUGCCGCUGCUUCAGACCGUGAGCGAGAUCGGAGCCGACGCGCUGCAAUUAUGGACCUGCCCGUUACCGAGCAGCGGCCGAGGCGCGCAGUGCCGACGAAUGCUGAAACACGAAGAUGAUUUAGCAAAAUCUGAUCACGUCUGGGGGACAACGUUCAAAAAUUAACUGUUUUUACCUCAUUUUGUGCUGACCCCUACACUCUGAACGUGCUGUGGGGAAUCUGAAGAUUGUGGCCACUAAACUGCUUUUCUUUCUAAAACCAGCUUUAAAAUACCAUGCAGAUGGCAGACUAGCAAGCAGCGCUGAUUGCCUGGGUUUUGGAAUUUUAACAUCAGCACCACUUGUAAUCUGUACACAGCUGUGCUAAAGGUGAAAAUGAAGGUUCUCUGUGCAUGAUAAACCCAAAAACUACGAGUCAGCUCUCGGUAUUUUAAAUGGCUGAGAUUUCAGGAGGUAGUUCUGUUGCUCCAUCUGAAACACAAGUUUGCCUAAAGACAACCCCCUAUAGUAAUAGGAUUCUGGUUUCCGCCCUCCUUCAAAGCGUGGAAAUUCAUCUGGGGUAGGAAGCAAACCCUUCCGGGCUCCUGAGCAGUAAGAGAAACAGGGGACAGGAGUGAGAAAAGACUUUGUAUUCGUGAGAAGACUGUCUGCCCAAGAAAUGCCUUUCCUUCCUCCUUGCAUUUCCACGUGGAAGAACGUUCCCCUCACCUCUGAGAGCACCGCGACCUCGCCCCCGGACGCCAUGGUCCCUUCCUCUGGAGUUUUCAUCGGGAGAGUCAAAAGCGUCAUCUGGCCCAAAAUCUUCAGGACCAGGAAAGCCAUCUCUGCCCCGGGGUCCCCGGCCCUCAUGUCUUGAGGGUCCUCCUCCUCUUCUGAAGCUACAAGAAAGAACAUGAUACAAAUAUGGGAUUUAGGUAGAACUGAGUCAGCUUCAGUUUUAUAAUCAACUCAUUUCUGAACUGUUUCACCUAAUGCUACAGCACAUAAAGUUACUAGAACAGGAUGUGGAGGUGGAAAAGUGCUCAUUUUCUGCCUUCGAGCACUUUGAUAGUCAUUUUUGUAGUUUUCCCCUCAUAUUUCCUUCUGUUGAUUGUGUUGGCUUUUCAUAGAAGGAAAAUUUUGUUAAACAUACUGCAUUCAUUUAAUGAAAAGGUGGGAAAAUGAAUGAGUGAUGAUAGAUGUGAGGUAAGGCAAGAAAAAGCAGUUUCCCUUAACUGUGGUGGUCUUACAUUCCCAUUCCCUUUUUCUCUUUCCAUUUUGAUGAUAAAACAAACGCAAAACA